rnacentral:lncRNA from 1 species
GCGGCUCCUCCCACUCCGGCACCCAAGCCCAAGGCCAAGGCCCCUGCCGCAGCACCGCCCGCCAAGGCAACCGCGCCUGCCCCCGCAGCGCUCCCUCCCACCGUCGAGGCGCCCGCGGCCGCCGCGCCAACUCUCUUCCCCGACGUGCCUGCGGCCGCACCAACUCUCUUCCCUGACGUGCCUUCCGCCGCGCCGGCCCCGUUGACCAAGCCCACCGACGCCCCCGCGCCGGCGCCAUCAAAGAAGAAGCGCUCGUCCAAGGACAAGAAGAAGACCAAGGCGCCCGCGCCCGCCCCGGUCGCUGCGGCCCCCGUCAAAGCCAA